AUGCAUUGGGCUGGAUGCAUGAGAGAUAAGUGGCAUGGAAGAAGCACUGGAGAUCCUGUUGCACAGUUCAAAGACUACCAUGACGGCACAUCAGUGGCAUGGAAGAGGUCAUCAAGCCUAGCACAGCCACCGCGAUGGCUGCUUCCGCUGGUCAAUUUCUUAUGUUCUUCCCAUUCAUGGCCUAGCUUGCCCAGAUUUUCUUCUGAAUAUUUUCUUGUUGCUAUUCUGUGUAGCAAUAGUGGUGGUGAUUACUCCCUAGUUGCUAGUCAGUUCUCCACAUCGAGCCUAGGGUCGCCAUCCUGA
rnacentral:rRNA from 1 species